rnacentral:rRNA from 1 species
GACGAACGCUGGCGGCGUGCUUAACACAUGCAAGUCGAACGGAAAGGCCCUGCUUUUGUGGGGUGCUCGAGUGGCGAACGGGUGAGUAACACGUGAGUAACCUGCCCUUGACUUUGGGAUAACUUCAGGAAACUGGGGCUAAUACCGGAUAGGAGCUCCUGCUGCAUGGUGGGGGUUGGAAAGUUUCGGCGGUUGGGGAUGGACUCGCGGCUUAUCAGCUUGUUGGGGGGGUAGUGGCUUACCAAGGCUUUGACGGGUAGCCGGCCUGAGAGGGUGACCGGCCUCAUUGGGACUGAGAUACGGCCCAGACGCCUACGGGAGGCAGCAGUGGGGAAUAUUGCACAAUGGGCGGAAGCCUGAUGCAGCAACGCCGCGUGCGGGAUGACGGCCUUCGGGUUGUAAACCGCUUUCGCCUGUGACGAAGCGUGAGUGACGGUAAUGGGUAAAGAAGCACCGGCUAACUACGUG